CUCGAACUGGCGACACUGCCAAAUUGCGGGGACACCCUAAAGACCUUGACACCAAGCACCAUCGGAAACGGUGGUGUGGCCGAGCUAAUUGCCCUGGGUAUGGUAAUAGUUCAAGGUAUGAGACUCCCUCCGCCAGGGGGGAAAAGAAGUCGAAAUGGGCAAUCCGCAGCCAAGUCCUACAGCCUUCCUCUUGCCGGGGAGGCCACGGACGCUGUUCACAGGCCAAAUGGUAGUGGGUGAACCUAUUAGGUUCGCUUAAGAUAUGGUCGGUCUCUGGGCGAAAGCCCAGGGGUAAGUUUCACUGAAACCCUCCACAAACGUUCCGUAGGUGAACCUGCGGAAGGAUCAUUAAUGAGUUAGGGUCUCCUAGGCCCGACCUCCCAACCCUUUGCUUACUAGACCUCAGUUGCUUCGGCAGGCCCGUCUUAAUCUGACCGCUGGAGGACCGCCUAAUGCGGGUGUUACCUCUGGCCAGUGUCUGCCGAUAGCCUAAUCUCCUAACUCUGGAUCAAUCAUGAUUUACAAUGUCUAAGUGAUUUUAUUCAAUUAAAAGCAAAAACUUUCAACAACGGAUCUCUUGGUUCUGGCAUCGAUGAAGAACGCAGCGAAAUGCGAUAAGUAAUGCGAAUUGCAGAAUUCCAGUGAGUCAUCGAAUCUUUGAACGCACAUUGCGCCCUUUGGUAUUCCG
rnacentral:rRNA from 1 species